UCCUCCUAACAAGUGGCUAGAUGUAGGACCAGUUGGGAUCAAGUUUCUGAUGCCUUCCCUGAGGGUGCAGGCAGCAGGCCUUCCUAGAUUUCUCUAACCUAUUUAUGUGAGUGGUUCUGAACUAUUUUAGCCCCAUCCACGCAUCUCAAAUAUCUUCAGUUUCACCCAGUUAAGAGCCCACAUUCACUGUGCAGACUACUAGCUACUACUUGAAUUAAUAAAAACCCUUUCUGACAUUCACUAUGCUAAGCCAAACAUAAGGUACUGAUCAAGAUAUGGAUAUCAUUGGUGCUCACAGCAGCUGCCUUAACUUCCUAAUUGGAAUGGAGCUGACUAUGCCCUGAUUGUGUUCUUGGCAAGAGGUGCUGCCCUUGGAGUCAGAGCUUCUACCAAAUAGCACAAACUCAAUAUUUUCUGUCUAUGCUGAACUUUGUGAAGCUUCUCUGAAACUUUCCUGGAAGAUCCGGCAACACCAGGCCUUCUUUCUUGCAUGGUCACAGGAGAUGAGAGCAGAGUUGUCUAAACAAGGUCUAAGAGGGCUGAUUGAGUAAGAUGACGCAUGUGACCGCUGUGGCUCCCCAGUCUGAAAACUUGGCACCAGAAGACACUGUGUAACUGCCAGUCUUACUGUUGUGCUUGGAUCACACCACUUGGAACUCGGGAGUUUCACAUACUUAGGGGGCUGAAGACAUUUCCCUGAAGCCUUGGCAAUUGAGACCUCAUUUACAGCUCCUGUGCUGGGACAGGAUUUCUUCUUUGCUUACCUUCACCCUUCACCCCAGUGAGGGCGUGGGCAGGAGAGAUUGGCACACUGGAUAAGAAAGAGAGAGAGCCCAGCCAAAUACUCGGCACCAUUUUGUAAGGAGCAAUCAGGCGUGGAAAGCCUUGAAGAUUCUGGGCUACCUCAGGCAGAAUGUGCUCAAGAAGAACCUUACCCUUUUUGUUUUUAAUUUAUUUUCUCAAAAAUUGA
rnacentral:lncRNA from 1 species